UGGUGAGGUUUCGGAUAGACAGGGUCCGGACUAACCUCAAUCCUGCUAAUAGGGCUUCAUACUCUGCUUGAUUGUUGGUUGCUGUGAAGUUGAAAGAGAUUGCUGUCUUGAUGGUGAACCCAUCCGGGCUCUUCAGGAUUAGCCCGGCUCCUGACCUUUCGGUUGUUGAGGAGCCGUCGACAUGGAGUAUCCAAGACCCCGGGUUGGACUCUUCCGGGGCUUCUGGUUCGGUUUCCAUGGGAGUUGACUGGUUUUCUGGGAAGUUGCAUUCCACCACGAAGUCUGCC
rnacentral:lncRNA from 1 species